rnacentral:rRNA from 1 species
UACGAAGGGGGCUAGCGUUGCUCGGAAUUACUGGGUUUAAAGGGUGCGUAGGUGGGUUGGUAAGUCAGUGGUGAAAUCUCCGAGCUUAACUCGGAAACUGCCAUUGAUACUAUUAAUCUUGAAUAUUGUGGAGGUCAGCGGAAUAUGUCAUGUAGCGGUGAAAUGCUUAGAGAUGACAUAGAACACCAAUUGCGAAGGCAGCUGGCUACACAUAUAUUGACACUGAGGCACGAAAGCGUGGGGAUCAAACAGG